rnacentral:SRP_RNA from 2 species
GCCGGGCGUGGUGGCUCACGCCUGUAAUCCCAGCACUUUGGGAGGCAGAGGCGGGUGGAUCAUCUGAGGUCAGGAGUUCGAGACCAGCCUGGCCAACAUGGUGAAACCCUGUCUCUA